GUGUUUCCUGUGCUGGCUUUCAGGGGCUGUGCAGUGCUGGAGGACUAGAGCUGCAAUGCAGUAACUGGUAACUCCCGCUCCCUGCAAGGCUGGAGGGAAUUCUUUCCUGCUCUAGUAAGCAGCUGGAGUGAUAAUUCUGUGAUUGGGGGGUGCAAGACCUUCUUGCCAGGAAAGAAGCACUGAAUGAAGUCCAGAAUUACUCCUUCCUGGAAAGUGCAAUCAGGUCACCCAGAGAUGUGCCUGGAGGAAAAACAGCUCAGCCCAGAGAUGAUAUUGAACUGCCAAACUGGACAAUGCCAGAACCACCUUUGUUUGCUGACUGGAGGAACAUUGCCCAGAGCCUGGGAUGCAUGGAGAAUCCUGGAAGGAAUCUGCUGAGGAGGAUUACCAAAAGUCUGUGUUGAGGCUGUGGCUUGGUACACCCCUCUCUACUGCAACAGAAGACAAGGAUAGCUGUUGAAAAAGGAAAAAAAACCUUUUUUGAGAACAUUGUCUUACAACUUUCUCAACAAUAGAGCAAAAUGAGGGAUGACAAAAUGAACAGGAAUUUAUAUCAAAUGAUGCAGAGUGGAAGAGGCUGACCCAUGACAAGCCCAAGAAAAGACAAAUCUUCAUUAAAAGGUAUGUGGAAAUAAUGAGUGUUGUCAUCAACAUGAAGGAAGUAGCCAGAAAAAUGUCCUUCAGCUCCCAGCUGGCUGAGUAGGAAAGGUGGAAGGCAGUGAAUCAACCGGGGUGAGCCACUAAAAAGAGCAAGGACCAAGAAGCCCAGUUCCCAGAGGUGGUGAUGGUACCUGAAGGGAAUGGACAGCAGGUGGAAGAUGGUUAAAUCCUUGAGACAGCCCUGAUGUCAUUUUGUCCUCAUUCUUUGUCCAAAAGAUAAGUAGUAAUCUGUGGCUCCAACUCUGGCUGGAAAUUAUGGUGCAGGCUGGACUGAAAACAUGUUUCUGUGUUAUCCCUGUGUCAGUCACCCCCUCCUUUUCUGAUAUGCACAGUAUCAACACAAGGAGGGGAAAAGGAAUUGUUUAGGGUGGGAUGAGGUGUAACCAGGGGCAAUAGGAGGAAACACAGCAAAGCAAUGUCUAGGCUGACUAUCAAGAAAAACAUCCCAACACUGAAGCCUGAAGGGGCUGCUAAAUAUCUCCCAAAGGAAGCAGUGGUAACCUUUAUCAAUGAGUCAUUUCAAACUCUGAAGGACAAAGCCCAAGUGUGGGGAAUGGGUCUGUGCUGGGAGUGCCUGAAGGGUCUUUCCCUUUCCCCCUCCUGAGAGAAACAGAGCCUGAAAACACAGCCAGACUGGUGGUUUCCUAACACAGGCACACAGAGAGAAAAACAACAUCCUUUGAGAUUGGGAGCCUGGGAAGUGUUUUUUAAAUUAGCUUCAAUAACAUGACAGAUGAUAACAAGUUUUUGAGUAAUUUUCUUUCCUUUUUUUUUUUUUUCAGCCACGUGUGUCUGGCCUGGCAGGAUCUUUCUUGUGAAUUAAUGAAACAUCAAGGCUGCACUGCCAGGCAGAUUGGAGUGGUGUGUUUCCAGGAGAGAGCCUGAGCUGGCAGACCCUCAGCUGCUACAAAUCAAUUAAGUCCCUCUGAUUCCAGCAGAGAGGGCCACUGAGUACAGCUGCAGGAUCUGGCCCAUUCCACGCUGGAACAGAAAGACUGCAUUCAUUUUGCCGAGAGCUGGACUAGUUAAAAUUUAAAUGCUGUUAAAUUUUAAAAUCCCAAUUUAAUUUAAAAUUCCCUUUGCAGUUUCUUUUAGUGACAGCAUUGCUCAUUUCUACUGAAAAGCUGAGACCUAACCUUUGGCUGAGACUGCCACAUGAGGGUUUCACUGUCCUGUGGCCAGCAGAUGUGAUGUGUCUUGCCCUCAAAUUUUUUUAUGAGCCCGGUUUCUUGCUUCUCUUGGUCAAAUAACUGUAAUAAGAAUAAUCAUGGAAUCACAGAAUCAUGGAAUCAAAAAUGGGUUGGGUUGGAGGCACCUUAAAGAUUCUCCAGUUCCAACCCCGUGCUACAGGCAGGGACAGCUUCCCCUGGACCAGGCUGCUCACAGCUCCAUCCAGCCUGGCCUAAAUAGCAUCAAAGGUCAGCCAGAACUCCCCAAAUUGCCUGAAUCCCUGGAAAGCAGCAGCAUGCCUUGGUGCUGGCAGGAGAGGAAGCGCAACAGAGAAGGAGUCCCUUGUCUAUGGCACAGCCCUAGUGCCCAGGCAGGCUGCAAAGACUUAAAGUGCUUCUAACAUUCAUGGCCCAGCCCUACAUACACUAUGUGUGCACUGAAGGCUUCAGUUUUGGGAAGAGAGGAUUCUGCCACCUCCCUGGACAGACUUUUGGACACGUUGCAGGGCUGUUGCAAUGCUUGCAUUUGUGGGGAGUGAGUUUGACUGCAGUGUGAAGAGAAGCCCAAUGUCUGAGUGUGCAGACCUGGCUGUGUUUCCCUAUGUCUCACAUUGACAUGUGAGUGUUCUGCCUUAUUAAAAGUUAUUUCAUGGCAUCUGCUCCCCAGUUAGCUGGGCAUCAGUGAAGAAGAAAAUCCUCCUCUCCCUCAGUUCAUGGCUGUGAGGGAAGGGGUUGUCCUGGACAGAGAGCUGCAGAAAAAAGAAAUGGAGAAGAGUUGGGAGUGGGGAAGGAGGCCAGGGGUUAAACCAAGAGGAACAAGGGUUAAAGGGAGCUUGGAGGGGCUGAGGAGGUAUUGUUAGACCUGGGAGAGCUUUGCUUGUGCCCUAGAGGGCAGCACCACAUCCCAGGCAGGUCUCUUCAGUUCACCCCUUGCUUUCUGUAAAGACGUGAGAUUUUGAGCUUCCAACCAGCAACUGGGUUUGUAAUUUGGCAAAGAAACUUGAUAAAAAACAGGCCAACAACCCAAAGCAUGUCAUCACAAAGUGUUACAGCCCAUGCAUUUAGCACCUCGCUGCAAAGGCCAGCUGAGAGCCAACUUUCCAGUGUAAUUUUCCUGCACAUCUGCCAAGCAGCAUGUGGAAAGAGCCAUCUGUGUGUCCUACCAGGGCAUUUCCCAGUCACAGCUUCUAGAGGGUAACUAAAAAACUGCCUGCUGUACAUGCCAUUGCUCAGAAGGUCUAGAGUUUUCACAAAAAUAUGAGUUAAAGCUGAGAGAACAACUGAUGACUCCUGCUGUUCAGUCUGCUCUGUCUGGAUGUGGAGCUAAUCAGACCACUCAGCAAAAUUAACAUCUCCUAAGUACUUCAUAAUCCAAUUUAUAUUUUAAAAAUUUUGCUUUAAAGAAAUAAUAGGAGAAAGAAAGACAGGAAGAAAUAACAGUCUAUCAGGCACUGUUCAUUAAACAUUUUUGCAUCAGGUGAUGUCUUGGGUGACCAAGAUCCUGAUGAUGCUUACAGUGAAAUCUCCAAAUGAGUGAUUGCCCACAGGAACAAGUGAUUAAGGGAAAUGGUGCAUUGCCUAUCCCUGGGAACACUGGUCCGGGCUGAGCUUCUUUUUGGGAUGCAGGCUUUUGCCAGGCACAUCUUGUGCAGCUCAGAAGAAUGUCUGGAGGAAAGUCCAUCUGCAAGAGGCCAGACUACAUGAUCUAAUGGUCCCUUUGGCCUUAGAAGCUUGAGUCACUGAAUUGGAAUCUGUGAAAAAAGUGUCCCCAGCUGUGGGAAUGAACUGGCUCGAUUGCAAAUAGGUCAAUUAAACUCAAACCAACAACCCUCUGGGGUCGUCAUAAAGUCCACAAAUUGGACUGAAAGGCAUGUCUCUAUUGGGAGGCAGUGUGAGUGAGGCUGGAGCUGGACUGGCCAAGUGGAAGGUCCAUCCUGCUCUGGGCAGCCACAGAUGUCCCCUCCAGGUGUUAAGCCAGGAUCCCCUCGGACAUUUGCAGCCCUGGCAGUGAGGCACACACCCCCAGCUGUGGGCAGGACCCUGUUCCGGGUCCUGGUUCUAUUUGCCUUUUGGAGGAAAACUGGCAUCUCUGGAAGUGAAGGCACAGGCAAAGUGAUAAGCCUGCCCUGCUAGUGGCACCACUUAAGUAGGUUUUGAUUACAACACAAGAAGUGUUUCAUUACACAAACCAACUGCUGUUGUGGUAGCAAGAGCAAAUGGAGCUGUGGUCUGGGUAGGUUUCAGCUGGUGAGGCAGUGCAUCUCCACGGGUACCAUGGUGGUGCUGCUCCAAAAGGCUUCAACUUCUGGAGCUCUUUGACAUCAGCAGGAAGCAAAGCAGGGAAAGGGCAGCUACACAAGAGUUGCUCCCCAUUCUCAACCUGCCCUGCUCAGACAGAUUGGCUUUUACUGCUGGGGUGGAGGGUCAGUGCUCAAGAUGCAAAAAUGCACCUCCUUGUUACACCCAGGGAGCACUGAGACACAGGAUUCAAAUCCAGCCACAGCACCACCACCCUUAGGCAUGUGGGACAUCUCUGAGGUCAAGGAGACUCGAGGGUCAGUGCAAGCAGCCAGCUGGCCCUUGGCAGUGGGACUUUGCAGGGCAGCAGGGUGGGAAGGCCCUGUGCUGGAGCAGAUUUUGCCAUCCACCCUCCCUCAGGGCUGUGCCUGUUGGGAGCUGCUCAGUCUUUGGCUGCAUAAGGAGCAAAGUUUGGUGGUUUGGAAGCAGAGGUAGAGGGGCAGUGGGGGUGAGUCUGACAGAGGUUAUGUCACAUUGCCAGAGCAGGGAAAGGUCUGGCCUUCAGCCCUUUACCAAGUCUGGUCUGCAGAGGUGUCUGUCUGAGUUCCUUACGAAUCGAUGUCAUUUCUUGAGGAUGGAGAUCAGAAAUGGCUCAGUCUUGCAAGGAAAAAAAAAAUUAAAAGCCUGGACUCUUUGCCAGCUGAAAUGGGAAAAUCAGGAGAGAGGGAGAAACACAAACUGCCCAUUUUAACUGUUAUUUACACAGAACCCAGCUACACAAUAGGCUGUGAAUGUAUUCCCUGCUUUUCUCUGGCACACAAAUGCAACAAAGCCGUGAAACGUGAGUUAACAUGACAACUGAGACCUGCAGCCUGUGGGUCUCAGCAUUUUCACUCUGUUUUCCCUUCCCUUGCCCUCACAGCACACAAGCCCUGUGAGUGCCCAUCGGGCUCAGACAAAUCCCUGGGGCUGCAACAGGAGCAGAACCCAGAGGUUCCACCAGCAGCAUCAGCAGCUGCCAUUCACUCUCAUUUAUGGCCCAGCUCUUCUUGUGAAUGGCAGAGUCUUCUCACUGAAGGCCAAAUACCAAGGGAGCUCUGGAUGUGUUUAAACAAAGCUAAGCUUAAUUAGAGCUGCUCAGAAAUUAAAUGCAGGAGCAGAGUGUAUUCAUGUUUGCACUCAGGAAUAUGUAAGGCUCUCGGGCAGAUCUAGGUCACCUCAGCUCAAGCAGAAUUACUGGGGAGCUCAGCGUGUGGGCAAACAUUGUUCUGCCUGUUCAGUGGGAAAGGGGUAACUCCUACAGGAGCUGCAAUUCCCCCACUCACAGCUCUGGCCUUCGAAGCUGGAUGAGGCACAGCCAAUGCCAAGAACUCAGAAACCUCGAGCUAUUGUUCAUAUAACAGAUUCUGGCUCCUUUUGCCUUUUGGCUUGUCUUCUCUUUCUCUCUCUUCUUAUGUGUGUCUCCUUUACAGCUACCACAAUGCAUUUUCCUGCACAGUCAUGAGAUGCAGAAUCUCUUUCUUUUCUCUCAUUAAAGCUGGGAGUCUGUUAUAAUCAUAUGACUCACAGUGCCAUAGGUCUAA